AUAAUCAUUUGUCUUUUAAUUGAAGUCUGGUAUGAAUGGUUGGAUGAGAAAUUUACUUUCUUUAUUUUAAAAAUAAAAUUUGAUUUCUAGAUUAAAAAGUUUAGUUGUUUAUAUAAGACGAGAAGACCCUAUAGAACUUUACUCUUUUUAAUUAGAUUAUUUUAUUGUAAAUGAUUUUUAUUAUAUUUAAUAAGGGUUUUAUUGGGGUGAUAAAAAAAAUUUUUUAACUUUUUUUAUUUUUUUCAUUUGUUUAUGAUUUUUUGAUCCUUUAUUAUGGAUAAUAAGAUUAAGUUACCUUAGGGAUAACAGCGUUAUUAUUUUAGAGAGUUCAUAUUGAUAAAAUAGUUUGCGACCUCGAUGUUGGAUUAAAAUAAGUGCUGGGGGUAGAAUAUCAGUUAGCUAGGUCUGUUCGACCUUUAAAUUUUUACAUGAUCUGAGU
rnacentral:rRNA from 1 species